AAUCGGGGCAGGGUGAGUCGACCCCUAAGGCGAGGCCGAAAGGCGUAGUCGAUGGGAAACGGGUUAAUAUUCCCGUACUUGGUGUUACUGCGAAGGGGGGACGGAGAAGGCUAUGUUGGCCGGGCGACGGUUGUCCCGGUUUAAGCGUGUAGGUAUGUGUUCCAGGUAAAUCCGGUUCACUUUAACACUGAGGCGUGACGACGAGGCACUACGGUGCUGAAGCAACAAAUGCCCUGCUUCCAGGAAAAGCCUCUAAGCAUCAGGUAACAUCAAAUCGUACCCCAAACCGACACAGGUGGUCAGGUAGAGAAUACCAAGGCGCUUGAGAGAACUCGGGUGAAGGAACUAGGCAAAAUGGUGCCGUAACUUCGGGAGAAGGCACGCUGACACGUAGGUGAAGUGAUUUACUCACGGAGCUGAAGUCAGCCGAAGAUACCAGCUGGCUGCAACUGUUUAUUAAAAACACAGCACUGUGCAAACACGAAAGUGGACGUAUACGGUGUGACGCCUGCCCGGUGCCGGAAGGUUAAUUGAUGGGGUCAGCGCAAGCGAAGCUCCUGAUCGAAGCCCCGGUAAACGGCGGCCGUAACUAUAACGGUCCUAAGGUAGCGAAAUUCCUUGUCGGGUAAGUUCCGACCUGCACGAAUGGCGUAAUGAUGGCCAGGCUGUCUCCACCCGAGACUCAGUGAAAUUGAACUCGCUGUGAAGAUGCAGUGUACCCGCGGCAAGACGGAAAGACCCCGUGAACCUUUACUAUAGCUUGACACUGAACAUUGAGCCUUGAUGUGUAGGAUAGGUGGGAGGCUUUGAAGUGUGGACGCCAGUCUGCAUGGAGCCGACCUUGAAAUACCACCCUUUAAUGUUUGAUGUUCUAACGUGGACCCGUGAUCCGGGUUGCGGACAGUGUCUGGUGGGUAGUUUGACUGGGGCGGUCUCCUCCUAAAGAGUAACGGAGGAGCACGAAGGUUGGCUAAUCCUGGUCGGACAUCAGGAGGUUAGUGCAAUGGCAUAAGCCAGCUUGACUGCGAGCGUGACGGCGCGAGCAGGUGCGAAAGCAGGUCAUAGUGAUCCGGUGGUUCUGAAUGGAAGGGCCAUCGCUCAACGGAUAAAAGGUACUCCGGGGAUAACAGGCUGAUACCGCCCAAGAGUUCAUAUCGACGGCGGUGUUUGGCACCUCGAUGUCGGCUCAUCACAUCCUGGGGCUGAAGUAGGUCCCAAGGGUAUGGCUGUUCGCCAUUUAAAGUGGUACGCGAGCUGGGUUUAGAACGUCGUGAGACAGUUCGGUCCCUAUCUGCCGUGGGCGCUGGAGAACUGAGGGGGGCUGCUCCUAGUACGAGAGGACCGGAGUGGACGCAUCACUGGUGUUCGGGUUGUCAUGCCAAUGGCACUGCCCGGUAGCUAAAUGCGGAAGAGAUAAGUGCUGAAAGCAUCUAAGCACGAAACUUGCCCCGAGAUGAGUUCUCCCUGAGACUUUAGGUCUCCUGAAGGAACGUUGAAGACGACGACGUUGAUAGGCCGGGUGUGUAAGCGCAGCGAUGCGUUGAGCUAACCGGUACUAAUGAACCGUGAGGCUUAACCUU
rnacentral:rRNA from 1 species